GCAAGUCGAACGGUAACAGAGAAGAGCUUGCUCUUUUGCUGACGAGUGGCGCACGGGUGAGUAACGCGUAUACAAUCUACCUUUUACAGGGGGAUAGCCUUUAGAAAUGAAGAUUAAUAUCCCAUAGUAAUUUAUUGUUGCAUGAUAGUAAAUUUAAAGUUUCGGCGGUAAAAGAUGAGUAUGCGUUCUAUUAGUUAGUUGGUAAGGUAACGGCUUACCAAGACAGCGAUAGAUAGGGGCCCUGAGAGGGGGAUCCCCCACACUGGUACUGAGACACGGACCAGACUCCUACGGGAGGCAGCAGUGAGGAAUAUUGGACAAUGGGCGAGAGCCUGAUCCAGCCAUGCCGCGUGCAGGAAGGCUGCCCUAUGGGUUGUAAACUGCUGUUAU
rnacentral:rRNA from 1 species